rnacentral:rRNA from 1 species
AUUGAACGCUGGCGGCAGGCCUAACACAUGCAAGUCGAGCGAGCGGCGGACGGGGGAGUAAUGGAUGGGAAACUGCAUGAUGGAGGGGGAGAACUAAUGGAAACGGUAGCUAAUACCGCAUACCAUAAGUGGUGGCUAGAUGGGAUAAGCAAGUAGGUGGGGUAAUGACUAACCUAGGCGACGAUCCCUAGCUGGUCUGCGAGGAUGGCCAGCCACACUGGAACUGAUACACGGUCCAGACUCCGACGGGAGGCAGCAGUGGGGAAUAUUGCACAAUGGGCGCAAGCCUGAUGCAGCCAUGCCGCGUGUGUGAAGAAGGCCUUCGGGUUGUAAAGCACUUUCAGCGGGGAGGCGUUACCCGCAGAAGAAGCACCGGCUAACUCCGUGCCAGCAGCCGCGGUAAUAC